AGCGAACGAUAAGGAGCUUGCUCCUUUGACGUUAGCGGCGGACGGGUGAGUAACACGUGGAUAACCUACCUAUAAGACUGGGAUAACUUCGGGAAACCGGAGCUAAUACCGGAUAACAUAUUGAACCGCAUGGUUCAAUAGUGAAAGGCGGCUUUGCUGUCACUUAUAGAUGGAUCCGCGCCGUAUUAGCUAGUUGGUAAGGUAACGGCUUACCAAGGCAACGAUACGUAGCCGACCUGAGAGGGUGAUCGGCCACACUGGAACUGAGACACGGUCCAGACUCCUACGGGAGGCAGCAGUAGGGAAUCUUCCGCAAUGGGCGAAAGCCUGACGGAGCAACGCCGCGUGAGUGAUGAAGGUCUUCGGAUCGUAAAACUCUGUUAUCAGGGAAGAACAAAUGUGUAAGUAACUGUGCACAUCUUGACGGUACCUGAUCAGAAAGCCACGGCUAACUACGUGCCAGCAGCCGCGGUAAUACGUAGGUGGCAAGCGUUAUCCGGAAUUAUUGGGCGUAAAGCGCGCGUAGGCGGUUUUUUAAGUCUGAUGUGAAAGCCCACGGCUCAACCGUGGAGGGUCAUUGGAAACUGGAAAACUUGAGUGCAGAAGAGGAAAGUGGAAUUCCAUGUGUAGCGGUGAAAUGCGCAGAGAUAUGGAGGAACACCAGUGGCGAAGGCGACUUUCUGGUCUGUAACUGACGCUGAUGUGCGAAAGCGUGGGGAUCAAACAGGAUUAGAUACCCUGGUAGUCCACGCCGUAAACGAUGAGUGCUAAGUGUUUAGGGGGUUUCCGCCCCUUAGUGCUGCAGCUAACGCAUUAAGCACUCCGCCUGGGGGAGUACGACCGCAAGGUUGAAACUCAAAGGAAUUGACGGGGACCCGCACAAGCGGUGGAGCAUGGUGGUUUAAUUCGAAGCAACGCGAAGAACCUUACCAAAUCUUGACAUCCUUUGACCGCUCUAGAAGAUAGAGUCUUCCCCUUCGGGGGACAAAGUGACAGGUGGUUGCAUGGUUGUCGUCAGCUCGUGUCGUGAGAAGGUUGGGGUUAAGUCCCGCAACGAGCGCAACCCUUAAGCUUAGUUGCCAUCAUUAAGUUGGGCACCCUAAGUUGACUGCCGGUG
rnacentral:rRNA from 1 species